rnacentral:lncRNA from 1 species
UUUUGUUCGAACCGCUCAGAAAAUCCUGGUUCUCGCAAAACAGGACAGUGAGGUAUUUCCUCGCUCGGAGAUAAGAGGUGGCAAAGCCUGGCACUACCCUGACAGGCACGUUUGUGAACAAAAUGCUUUGAGCUACAUCCUUUCCCUCCACUGACGCCGGAGAUGUCCGUGAUAACACCAGGAGUGGGCCCUUGGCGCCCAGUUUGCUACACUGCAAUUAGAGAAAAGUACUGGAAAGCGAUUGAGACAGCAGUAUGGCCCGGUCAGAGCAUCAAGACCUGAGUCCUCAUCUGUGACCUGGUCACUGCUCAUCUUUAUGUCUCCAGCUGGAAGGAAGGGAGAAUAAAAUCACCAUCUUGGCCCUGCACAACUUUCCUGAGGAAGGGAGACACAAGAGCAAGGAGGCUCUACCAGCCUGCGUUUCCGAGGCAGCGUAGGGCACAUGAAGAAGACAAAAAGGAGUUUUGAGGCGCGUCCAGCGGGUUUCCUCUCCCCCAGCGGUGACUGGAGGCAGGGAAUCUUACACACUGGACCCGGCAUCUUUCAUAAAACAAUGAGAAGAGACUUGCAAGAACACCACCAACUUCCAUCUGCAAAUGAUUUGAUACUUGCUUUCGGCAAAUUUCUAAGCAUUCCAGUUUUAAAUAGACUUCACCCCGGUAUUCUCACCAGCAAUGCUGCAGUGUUGAAAUAGUGACAGAAUUGGGUAAAAAACAUGACAAACAUACUUAUGCUGAUAAGUAUUUUUUUACAUUUGAAUGAUUAUGCUCAUGUUCCUUCUUUCACUCUCCUCCUGCUUUUAAGAACAUGGUUGGAAGCAUGCCAUUGUGUCAAAUGAAUCAGAAAAAAAAAAGGAAGAUGUAUUGCUCUGCGUUGGACAGUUGUUAGAAAAACCUUCUCCAUG